rnacentral:lncRNA from 1 species
GGACGACCCGCCCGAUUUAGAUAAAGAGCUGUUCCGCCAUGCAGACGGGGAGCCUGCCUGUUCUUUAACCUCUCCUACCUGAUGGGAGAGGACAAGCUACCAGGACAGCUUGUCUCACCAAGAAAUUGUGAUACCGCAUCCCCCAACGUGCUGGCUUCCUGACUUCCAAAGUUGCGGCAAGGUAAGAAGAACUACAGAGGAAGAACCUAAUGCAGACGUUUCCCAGGAGACUUUAACUGAAGUAUCAGCAAACUGAAAGCUAGGACGCUUCAGACAUACCAGUGGGCCUAACCUUUUUCACAAGGAGCUCUGGCCUGGCCAACAAGAAUCACCUUUGGUGCUUCAGUGCAGUGUCACCAUCACCUGUUUGAAAUGCAGCCAGGUAACAUGUACCAUUUUAUUUGCUUUCAGUAUCACAGUCUAUCUUCUAAUAAGAAACCUAGGCCUCUGGCUGGGUGUGGUGGCUUACACCUGUAACCCAGCACUUUGAGAGGCUGAGGUGGGUGGAUCACUUGAGGUCAGGAGUUCGAGACCACCCUGGCCAACAUGGUGAAACUCCCAUCUCUACUAAAAAUAUUAAAAUUAGCUGGGCAUGGUGGCAUGUGCCCUCUAAUCCCAGGUACUAGGGAGGCUGAGGCAGGAGAAUCACUUAAAACCGGGAGGCGGAGGUUGCAGUGAGCUGAGAUGAUGCCACUGCACUCCAGCCUGGGCAACAAGAGUGAAACUCCAUCUCAAAAAAAAAAAAAAAAAGGAUUUUUUUUUUUUUUUUUUUCUGUGCUGGGUUUACUUAGCAUACCUUUCAGAUUCAUGAAUGUUGCAAAUAACAAGACUUUAUUUUUAAGGGCUGAAUGGCAUUUCAUUGUGUACAUAUACCACAUUUUCUUUCUCCAUUCACCUACUGAUGAACACUCAGGUUGAUUCCAUACCUUAGUUAUUAUCAGUAAUCCACUUCCUUCCCUUUCAUUUGUGUUUGUUUUGUUUUGUUUGAGAUGGAGUCUCAUUCUGUCACCCAAGCUGGAGUGCAGUGGCGCGGUCUUGGCUAACAGCAACCUCCGCCUCCCAGGUUCAAGCAAUUCUCCUGCCUCAGCCUCUCGAGUAGCUGGUAUUACAGGCACGCACCACCACGCCCAGAGUUUCACUCUUGUUGCCCAGGCUGGAGUGCAAUGGCUCGAUCUUGGCUCACCACAAGCUCCAACUCCAGGAUUCAAGCGGUUCUCCUGUCUCAGCCUCCUGAGUAGCUGGGAUUACAGGCAUGUGCCACCACGCCCGACUAAUUUUUGCGUUUUUAGUACAGACAGGGUUUCACCAUGUUGGUCAGGCUGGUCUCGAACUCCUGACCUCAGGUGAUUCACCCACCUCGGCCUCCCAAAGUGCU